rnacentral:rRNA from 1 species
CCUACGGGCGGCAGCAGUAGGGAAUAUUGCUCAAUGGGGGAAACCCUGAAGCAGCAACGCCGCGUGGAGGAUGACGGUUUUAGGAUUUUAAACUCCUUUUGUUAUAGAAGAUUAUGAUGGUAUCUAACGAAUAAGCACUGGCUAACUCCGUGCCAGCAGCCGCGGUAAUACGGAGGGUGCAAGCGUUACUCGGAAUCACUGGGCGUAAAGAGUGUGUAGGCGGGGUAAUAAGUCAGAUGUGAAAUGCUGUGGCUUAAAUACAGAACUGCAUGUGAAACUGGUACUCUGGAGUGUGGAAGAGGUAGGUGGAAUUCUUGGUGUAGGGGUAAAAUGCGUAGAGAUCAAGAGGAAUACUGAUUGCGAAGGCGACCUGCUGGAACAUUACUGACGCUGAUGCGCGAAAGCGUGGGGAGCAAACAGGAUUAGAUACCCUUGUAGUC